GUUCGGUGUAAGAUUUUUCUUCAUUUGGAGGAAUGACGAGUAGUAUACUGGAUAUAUUUUCGCAGACCGAAUUUGAGUUUUAUUCAUUUAUUGUUGCCUGGGCAUUUUUUACUCUUGCAAACAUCGAGUGAUGAGUAUGUGAAUUGGCCUAGAACUCAAAAGAUAAUUGAUUAUAAGACAAGUUUAGAGGAGGGAGGGUAUUCAGGACAUGAUCUUACAUACAAAGCGGUUGUGCUGUUGGAUGAUAGUUAUGUUUUACACUUUUCUUGGCAAUGCCAUUUUGUUUUAUCCAUAGAUGUAAUCUUGGGAGAAAAUGAGUUUAGUCUAUAAAUCGAAUUAAUGCACUCUGAAAAGGAAAAUUCACAUCAUUUUCUCUAAUUAUUUUGUAAAGUAACCUUGACUACUUUUUUCUCAGCAUCAUUAUAAUAAUGGUAAUAGGGGCCGGAGAUGGCCAGAUGUAGGGAAUUUGAGAGGAAAAACACACAGAAAAACAUAAGCUUAAUUUUUCAUUUACAAAACUUGGGAAAAUUUCGAAAGAGGUUGCUGGUUUGAUGCUUUUUUUUAGAUCUGUAUGAAGUAAAUUCAAUAUUGAUAAAUAGAGCUAAUUGAUAUGCAUGAUUCAUGUAGGCUUAGAUAAAUCACAACUCAUAAACUCAUUUAUAUUUUAUGCUGUGUAUUUAAAUUAAUUGGGAUUUUUUUUUUAUAGUUUUUGAAAUUAAGCAGCACAAAUUUAAAAUGUCUAACUUUAUAAUAAAUGUUCUAAUGAGUAAAAGAUCUUAAAAUUGUCGGCGAGUAUAACUUUUUUUCGGAUAACUGUUGACACGAAAUGGAAAGAGCUAUACGGCUAUACCUAUACGUUUUGGGGGGAGUCAAGGUGGAGUCCCACCUCGCCUACGCGGACGAUGUGAGCUUUUACUGUCUCUCAGGAUUGGAGGUAAGCUCUGCGAAAAGCUAUGUCGUUUUUCCAGCUAAGGUGGAAGACGGAGCACAAUUGGGCUUCCGGUAUUAAGUCUGUCAGUACGUCAUUUUGGGGUUCCGCUGACUGGAAGAUCUAUAGCGCACAGAGACUGCGAUUUCUUGAUCGCGGACCUUCAAGUCUUCCUUGAGAGAUGGAGUCGGAAACCAUUGUCAUACGCGGGCCGUUAACUGCUGAUUCAAUGGAAAGUUCUGUUAUUUGAUGCAGGCGAGCUCCCUACCUCAACACACCAUUGAAACGAUCAAAUCACUGGUGUAAAAAGUUAUCUAGAGGGCUCAGAAAGAGGUGGUCUGGUCCAAUAUGACUUUCCCACAGGACGAGGGUGGCUUGGGGCUGCAGGUUUUUGGGAUGCUACUGUUAUUUUCUGGAGGAGGUGCUGUCCUGGAGGCGACGUCGGAGCUUCUGGAGCCUUCUAGCGACGAUCGCCGGAGAAUUGCAACUAGGUUUUUCCGGUUACAAGAAAAGGGGGAAAAACUGUCGUUGGAGAGAGAAGAAAGGGGAAGAAUGAUUUGGGGGGAAUAUGAAAAAUGUUAAUCUUUUUUCUUUGAUUAACUUGUGUAAUUCAAUUAAUUAAAACCAGUUUACAACCCAAUCAUUUAUACACUAUUUACAACUAACUAAUAACUAAUUUUCUUUAAAUUAAACUGAUUCAAUUUAAUCGGGUCUCGGGUCGGUCUUGUGAGCCUGGAUCCGG
rnacentral:lncRNA from 1 species